GACUGACUAGAUAAGCUAUAACUCUUUGUUCAUCUCCUUUCACAGACUCUUUGACUUCAAACAGGAGCUAUUCUUCACUGGAUUGUUGGUCAUUCUGACAGCAUGCUGUGCUGUGCUGCUGUUCUACCUUAUAAGAAGACUGAAGGCUAAUAAUCCCUCUGAAGUAGAGAGCCACUACGUAGAUGUAAAUUAUAAUGCAACAAAAAUCCAGGCAAAGGUGAGACAUGAAGGCACUCUUUACUCAGAGGUUACAUACAUGGCUGGCAUCCAGGAAGAGUCUGGCUAGUUUUGAUUUGUUGACGUUUGUUUGCAGAGUGUAAAAAUGUAUAUGACAGAAUGUUGUAAGUCUUUACUGCCUACAUUUCCCUUUUGUGUAUCUUCAGUCAUUUAAUUGUUUUGCCAUGCCUACAUUUUG